UACGUAGGGUCCGAGCGUUGUCCGGAAUUACUGGGCGUAAAGAGCUCGUAGGUGGUUUGUCGCGUUGUUCGUGAAAACUCACAGCUCAACUGUGGGCGUGCGGGCGAUACGGGCAGACUAGAGUACUGCAGGGGAGACUGGAAUUCCUGGUGUAGCGGUGGAAUGCGCAGAUAUCAGGAGGAACACCGGUGGCGAAGGCGGGUCUCUGGGCAGUAACUGACGCUGGAGGAGCGAAAGCGUGGGGAGCGAACAGGA
rnacentral:rRNA from 1 species